CCAAAAGCUGGCGACCGGCGCACGGGUGAGUAACACGUAUCCAACCUGCCUCAUACUCGGGGAUAGCCUUUCGAAAGAAAGAUUAAUAUCCGAUAGCAUAUAUUUCCCGCAUGGGUUUUAUAUUAAAGAAAUUCGGUAUGAGAUGGGGAUGCGUUCCAUUAGGUUGUUGGCGGGGUAACGGCCCACCAAGCCUUCGAUGGAUAGGGGUUCUGAGAGGAAGGUCCCCCACAUUGGAACUGAGACACGGUCCAA
rnacentral:rRNA from 1 species